UGUAGGAUAGGUGGGAGGCUAUGAAGACGUGACGCCAGUUGCGUUGGAGCCGUCCUUGAAAUACCACCCUUGUAUGUUUGAUGUUCUAACUUAGACCCGUUAUCCGGGUUGAGGACAGUGCCUGGUGGGUAGUUUGACUGGGGCGGUCUCCUCCCAAAGAGUAACGGAGGAGCACGAAGGUGGGCUAAUCACGGUUGGACAUC
rnacentral:rRNA from 1 species